GGUGGAGCACGUCAGCCUGGAGCACCCCCUCAGCCGGCACUGGGAGAUGCCACCGGACACCGUCCGCAGCAAGAUCCUGGUGGGGGUCGGGGGCUUCGUCUUGGGCUUGGUCUUACUGGUGCUGGGGCUCGGCUUCUACCUGCGGGAGAAGAGCUCCUGAGCCGCCGGCGGCCGCAGCCCCUCCCCGUGGCCUCGGGCCCAGCCGGGACCCCCCAGUCCAGCCCCACCUGCACUUUGGGGGGUCAUGUG